rnacentral:rRNA from 1 species
GACGAACGCUGGCGGCGGGCUUAACACAUGCAAGUCGAACGGUAAGGCCCUGCUGUUUUGGGGUGCUCGAGUGGCGAACGGGUGAGUAACACGUGAGUAACCAGCCCCUUACUUUGGGAUAACUUCAGGAAACUGGGGCUAAUAACGCAUAGGAACUCCGGCUGCAUGGUGGGGGGGGGAUAGUUGCGGCGGUUGGGGAUGGACUCGCGGCUGAGCAGCUUGUUGGUGGGGGAGUGGCUUACCAAGGCUUUGCCCUGUAGCCGGCCUGAGAGGGUGAGAGGCGACAUUGGGACUGAGAGACGGCCCAGACUCCGACGGGAGGCAGAAGUGGGGAAUAUUGAUCCAUGGGUGGAGGCCUGAUGCAGAAGCGCCGUGUGCGGGAUAGCGGCCUUCGGGUUGUAGACGGUGUUCGCUUAUAACGGAGCUUUGUGUGACGGUAGUGGGUAAAGAAGCACCGGCUAACUACGUG